AACGAACGCUGGCGGCAUGCCUAACACAUGCAAGUCGAACGAGACCUUCGGGUCUAGGGGCGCACGGGUGCGUAACGCGUGGGAACCUGCCCUUGGGUUCGGAAUAACUCCCCGAAAGGGGUGCUAAUACCGGAUAAGGUCUUCGGACCAAAGAUCUAUCGCCAUUGGAUGGGCCCUCGUUGGAUUAGCUAGUUGGUAGGGUAAAAGCCUACCAAGGCGACGAUGCAUAGCUGGUCUGAGAGGAUGAUCAGCCACACUGGGACUGAGACACGGCCCAGACUCCUAGGGGAGGCAGCAGUGGGGAAUACUGGACGCUGGGGGAUAGCCUGAUCCAGCAAUGCCGGGUGAGUGAUGAAGGCCUUAGGGUUGUAAAGCUCUUUUACCCGGGAUGAUAAUGACAGUACCGGGAGAAUAAGCACCGGCUAACUCCGUG
rnacentral:rRNA from 1 species